rnacentral:lncRNA from 1 species
UUCGGUCGAGACUCAAAGUGUGGUAGGCCUAAAAGAAAAAGUUGAAGUUUCCGAGCCAAAAAUCGACUCAAAAAAUAAUUCGUCAGAAGAGUGCUCCAAUGACGAACAGUGCCAAGACAUGGUCUUAGAUGCCGAAACUAUGACAAUCGAUAUGGUUAUUGGUGAUAAAGCCGAUAUGGAGAAAUCUCAUUCGGCUAAGUUGCUCGAGUUAAAAGCCAAAAUUGGUGAAAUAAUUAUGCCCGGGGGGCAUAAUAAUUGUUCAACACAUUCAGCAGCCGAUGAUAAAAAAUAUUUCGCCAAGUCAAAAAUAUUUGGAGGAAAUUCUUUAUUCGGCCUAGAGCGAAAUCAAUUUGAAGAUUUUGUUAUUACAAGAUCUCGACUUGGAAUAAAGCAUCGUUGGCCUCCUCCUGACUACGGUUCGGCCACUUUUCUUUUCGUUUGUUAAAUAUAUAUAUUAUUUUCUUAAACAUACGGCUAUGCAAGCCGAUGCGUAAGAAAAUAGGGGGCAAUGCCUCGGUAAAAAUUUUGAUCGAAUAAAAGAAAGUUUGGCCGAGUACGAUGAGUUUGGCCGCAUAUAUAUAUACCAAUUCCCCUCGGCCUCGACUUCGGCUCACUUUACAAAAUUAUAAAAGAGGCGGCCAAAGGAUUUUAGUCAGGCAUGGGACCUUUCUGCUUCGGAGCUCAUCAUUCUUUAUUGCAUCACCUCAAAUUUUCUACCAAGAUCAUGGAGUUAUGUUCCUUGCGUAUCAACAGUACAGGCCGAACCAAAAUGACGGCCUGAUAAUCUACAGUUUAGAACAACCAAUAUGGUCCGUGGAAGGCAAGAGGAUUCUGCUCUCGACCAUAUAUAUUUUCGACCAUAGCUUUGGUCAUCAAAUUAAGGUGGUUAGUCGUUAAGCCAAAAAAUGUGAUAAAAAUUUGCAUGGCCGACAACAUUAUUCCAAGGCCAAGAUUUGAUUUUGUGUGUGUGUG